GGGAUCAUACAAUUGUAUUGUCUUCAAAACACACACACAUACACACACACACACACACACACACACACCCCUUCCAAGAAAGCUGAUCCUUCAGAAAAUAAAUCUUAUUUUUAAGCACUUGGGUUUUCAGGCCAGAAAAUUAAUAAAUCCUAAACCUGACCCAUUUUUGUAACAGCUAAAAAGGAGAAGAAAAAGCUAGUUAAAUUUUGUGUGGAUCCAUUUAUCUCUUAAAAUAUGCCAAAGCAAUUUGAGGUGGGGGUGGAAACAGGUAUUUAUCUCUCAUGCGUGAUUCUCUCUUUAUAUUUCUAUCUGUUGGGAAAAGGGUAAAGAACUAUUCUUGGUCAUUAUUGAUGUAUUGUGUUGCCACUUUGUAUGGUGCCUGCUGUGCUUUAUCCCGAGGCAUAGCAGUAAUCGUUACUAUCUUGACUCUUUCCUUCAUCACAAGAGAGUAAAUAUGAAGUCUGAAUGUCGUUCCUCACCCCCAAAUUGUUUAACUCUGCUUCCAAACUAGUUUAAGAAAUGCAAAAUGGGAAGAGCUAGCUUUUCUUAGAUACAUUUCUUCCUUUUUUAUUCUUUCUUGGGAGACGUUAAGUAUAAAAGGGAAAAAGUCAGUUCCUUCUUCUCUCUCUUUCUCUUUGGGUGACAGCAAUGCUCACUUAGUAAUUAUAAACUGGAAAUAGGAGAGUAGCUUGAGCAGGUUAUGAUAUAUCUGCCCAAUGUGUUUCAUUCCUUCAAACAUAAACUUUGAGAGUAAAAGAGAUUUUUAUAAUUUAAAUGCCAACGACAGGAAUGGCCUCAUGUUUUAACUUUCAAAUAAUAAAUGGGGAGUUGGUAUUUGGGCAGAGUUUGCAUUUUACUAAUCCUAUAUACUUUGAGCUUAGUUUUUAGAAUUGUGUCAAAUACAUCAACAUAUCAGGAUUAUAGUGCCAAAAAUAGUUAAAGUGCCUUGGUCCUCCCUCUGUAGGCAGCAAAUUGAAACUAACAUGGGACCAUGCCAUCCUUCUAGCAUAAUGGAGAAGUCUGAACUGAGGAGUAUCUUUGAUGAAAGACAUUUAGGACCCUAGAAACUAAAUCUUGUCACCAAGACUUUAUAGUAAAGUAGUAGCAAAAUUAUUUUUAAAAGACUUUCUUCCUUUUACUACCCAUUUCCUCUCUUGGGAAAGCUGAUGAGCAAAUUAUCCAAGACUCAUUUCUUUAUUAGGCAAAGUCAGAAUAUUUCCCCUCUGAAAAUCUGAAUUAUGCCCUCAUUCUUUUUCAAGAAAUAUCUCAAAGAGCAAAUAGAAUUAAACAUGACACUUGAUUGUCUGAUUAUUUGGCAUGUAUAAAAUUAUCAUGUGGCUUAAUGUGCCUUAAGUGAAAAUUUAAACUUAGACCUGAAACCUUUACAGUUGGAUGUAGCGUUGAGCUUUUGCAUGUUUUCUGUAUAAUAAACCACUUUUGUUUUGUUUGUUUUGUCUUUUAACCUACACCUUUAUCAUUACUCUAACAGAUUUAGGGCUUCUCUUUCUCUACAGCUAAGUAAGGGAAUAUGUGCAAUUAUGAGACAUACAAAAAAGGAAAGGGAAAGGACUUUCUAAGUAGCAAAUCUGUGCCAUGAAGUAGAUGUGGCGUGAAGAUACAGAGCCUGAGGAUAGUAAUUUUCCCUGAGCCACGCACACAGGCUUUUAUUUCAUGCCUUUUCUCUUUCUGUGCCGUCACCUUUGAGAAAAACGAUUGCACCUUCUCCAAGUCUGCCUUUUUAACAGCUACAGUUAAGUUGGCAAGACUUCCCCAGCUCUGAAUAUAGCCAUUUGCCGACUCCGGCCUCUUUGCGAGACUGACUCAAAUCUGUGAUCUUCUGUUCAGCAUACACAUCAGCAAAGUGAGAAGAUGAGCACUAAAUAUAGGCUCUAUUAACUUUACUUUUAGAUUUACUGCCUUCAAAAAGUGCCUAUUCUGAGCAACAUAAACGUUAUUCCUUACAUAUGUAUGUACACACGGUACCCAGAGUCGUACUGUGCAGCCUUCAAAAACAUACCAUCAGAAAGAGUAGGUGCUGAGAUAAGGAAACUUUGCCAAAUGAAAGAAAGUCACUCACUUCCAAUAUCCCCUCUCAAGCGGCUACCGUGAAACGGGCUGCAAACACAUUCCCUGAGCAUCCCUUGCUGAUACAGCUUCUUUAUAUUUAUAUCCUACUGGAUGGUAGCAUAUUGCUAAGGUUUCCUGUACUCUGCUUCAAGGGAAUGUAAGCUUUAUGGCAUUGAAACAUUUAGGGAAAAAAAAGAUGUUUAAGAGAAUUAAUAGAGCCGUAGUCUGUAUUAGGAUGUGUGUCAUAUGUGUGUUCUAUAAACUAAGCAUCGGUGGGUUUAGAGUGUUAAAGUGUCAGCACAUUCCUUCUCCUUUUGUCUCUCAGGCUAACAUGAGAGAAAAUAGAAAAGUCUUGGCUGUGGGGAUUGGAAGCUCAGGGGGCCAAAUGUCCUUGCCAGAUCCUUAGAGCAUUACUUUGACUCCUAAAAAUAGUAGUGUAUGUUAUUUGAUGGCUUUUGUUUCCAUAGUUCCAUCACUGACAAAACUGUCAAUACUGUUGAUGGAGCAGCAGCAUAGCCUAGAGUGAUGCAUUCUUACCCAGAGGUGGCAAUAGGAGAGGGUCCAUGUAAAUAGGACGAGGUAGACAGUGCAUGAUUGUAGGAGAAGGGUUGAAGGGAGGACAUGAUUCCAAAAAAGAUCGUUCUCAAUGUGUCGUCUGACUCAACCAGCUGGCAGAUUACACUUGCCAAGUCGUUCCCUUUCCUUCUAAGUCAGUUGGCUCCAUAUUCACUUGAAUAUGCCUCUGUUUGGGCAAAGCAAGAUACCUCCACUUAACCUUUAUCCAAGGAAGCUCUUGGUGUCCUCUUGGUCAUAAAGUUGUCUCCUACCUAACCCAGUUUUACCAAAUGGAAGUAAAAGGGGACAAACUAUGGAAGAUGGACUCCAUGCCAUUGCAGUCAGCCACCAUUCUCUUUUCCAUAUAAGGAGCCCCAUUACAUAAGCUACGGGUGAGGUUGGAACAGCUAUGUUUCAUAAUUUCAAGAGUGUGACCACCCUGCUCUAGUCAUCAUCAUUGGAUGAAUCCAGUUGACUCUUUGGCAAAAGGGUGAUACUUUUCACUAAAAAUGCCUACUCUUCCUGUUGAUGUUCCUUUUCUGUUUUUACCUUGUCCAAUUUCCACACUAGUCAUUUUUUUUAUUUUUUAGAGGAUCAGAUUUUAGCGCUGGAAAAUGAGUUCAAAAAUUUCAGUGUAAUGUCAUAAGGAUGUUGGGAUACAGAGAUUUUUUUUUUCCUUGGAAACAAAUGGACUGGGAAGAAACACAGCAUGGCUUUGCUCUGAGUUUCAAUCUGAUGAUUAUGACCAUGGAAGAUAGUCUUAUGUAAAGGUUAAAUGGUGUUUACAAGUGGAUAGAUAAGGCGGAGAUGGUGAGAAGCCGGGUUUUCUCUAUGCUAAAUGUGUCUACUAAGAGCAGCACUUCCUACUAGCUAAGCACAAUCAUAGCCCCACCGUGAUGAGCUGCUAGUCUGAAUAACAUUCCCUGACUUAGGGAAAGGCACACAAAAACAUAUAAAGAAUAUGUCUAUUUUCAUAUGUGUGAUACUGACAGAGCCAUGGUAUUCCUAAAAUAUAGGUUUCUCUUUUUUCUUGUAUUCUUAGCAAAUUGCAUUUAUUCACUACAUUACAAACCAUCACUGAUGUAUCCAAAAUAGCACACAUAGUUCAGUAUGAAAAUAAGAGAAUAAAAUCUGUUAUAAGCAAGUGAUUUAGGUAUUUUCUUUUGUGUUUAUGCAUUAUCUGACUAUAUUAAAACCUGUUUUUCUAUUUACCUUCUAUCAGUUUUCUCUACCAAUUAUGUUUUUUCAAUGCUCUAUAAGAAUGAAUAUGGAAAUUAUAUUUCUUUUUUCUGUAAAAGAGUUGCAACUACUUUAUUAUAUUUAGAAAUCCAAUAAACUUCUUAUUACAUU
rnacentral:lncRNA from 1 species